UGGGGAAUAUUGGACAAUGGGCGCAAGCCUGAUCCAGCCAUGCCGCGUGAGUGAUGAAGGCCUUAGGGUUGUAAAGCUCUUUCACCCACGACGAUAAUGACGGUAGUGGGAGAAGAAGCCCCGGCUAACUUCGUGCCAGCAGCCGCGGUAAUACGAAGGGGGCUAGCGUUGCUCGGAAUCACUGGGCGUAAAGGGCGCGUAGGCGGCCGAUCAAGUCAGGGGUGAAAGCCUGUGGCUCAACCACAGAAUUGCCUUUGAUACUGUUCGGCUCGAGACCGGAAGAGGUUGGUGGAACUGCGAGUGUAGAGGUGAAAUUCGUAGAUAUUCGCAAGAACACCAGUGGCGAAGGCGGCCAACUGGUCCGUUCUGACGCUGAGGCGCGAAAGCGUGGGGAGCAAACAGGAUUAGAUACCCUGGUAGUCCACGCCGUAAAACGAUGAAUGCCAGCCGUUGGGCAGCUUGCUGCUCAGUGGCGCAGCU
rnacentral:rRNA from 1 species